AGUGCGACGAAGUGCAAUGUACAAGGAAGAGGUUGAUGUGGACGUCGGAGAAAUGAUGGUUAAACUGCCAUACGUUGAAAUUCUUGGGGGAGUCUCCAAGUCGUCAAUUACAAAGACUAGCGUACUAUAUACGCCCAUGCUCUGACCCAUUGGAGUAAAUAUUAAACGUGCGCACUCAUUGAUCAUUAAUCAGUGUGCUCGCCGGCCUCCAACCGUCGUCCAUACUUGCUAAAACCAUUUACUUCAAGCUAGAUUGAGAAAUGGGGAACAAGAGAGUGAUGAUACCGGCAAGUGAAGUUGACUUGACGGCUGUGAACUACAUACCCGAGAAUAUUCAAGCUCCACAUUUGACUGGUUUCUGGUUUAAGUUCUUUGUGAAGCUGGCUGAAGCACCGGGUAUUGGAUCUUUGAUUAUGAAUCACCUCAAGAAAGAAAACAAAAUUGAUGAGAUGUUGAAGUACACCGUCAUACCGGAGGUUCCUAUGUUUAAACCUGAAUAUCCUCCUCAAGAGCCAGAACCUGCUGUAGUCAGCCUGGAAGAAGACGCAAAGCCUGAAGAACGGGUUAACCUAGCCUUAAAGUAUCUUCCAGAAUAUGAUCCAGCUAGCAAUUGGAGUGGUGAUUCAACUGCAUCAUUCCGCUAUUGGAAAAUUCGUGAUUAUGCAUAUGCAUACAGAUCUAAGUUUACAACUCCAUCUAUGGUUGCGGAGCGCUUCAUCUCAGCCAUUGAGGAAUUCAACAAUAAGAAUCCCACAGCCCCACUGUUAAUUUCUUUUGACCCUGACGAAGUAAGAAAGCAAGCUGCUGCUUCUACACAAAGAUUUCAACAAGGAAAUCCACUGUCAAUCUUGGAUGGGAUUUUCAUGGCAAUUAAAGACGACAUAGAUUGCUAUCCUCACCCUUCAAAGGGAGCAACUACGUGGAUGCAUGAGGUUCGUGAGGUAAAGAAGGAUGCUGUUUCUGUGUCAAGAUUACGAAGCUGUGGUGCAAUUUUGGUUGGAAAGGCAAACAUGCAUGAGUUGGGCUUGGGCACUACCGGAAAUAAUGCAAACUAUGGGACUACACGUAAUCCACAUGAUCCAGAUAGGUACACAGGAGGGUCUUCCUCAGGCCCUGCAGCUAUUGUGGCUUCAGGAUUGUGUUCUGCUGCUGUGGGAACGGAUGGUGGAGGUUCAGUUCGGAUUCCCUCUUCCCUUUGUGGUGUUGUGGGAUUGAAGUCAACAUAUGGUCGAACUGACAUGACCGGGUCAUUAUGUGAUGAUGGAACGGUGGAAAUUAUUGGACCAAUCGCCACAACUGUUGAGGACACCAUACUUGUGUAUGCAGCAAUCUUGGGAUCCUCUCCUGCUGAAAGAAUCUCUUUAAGACCGUCCGUCCCUUGUAUACCUAAUUUCCCUUCACAAGACAGCUCACAAUCUCUGGAAGCACUGCACCUUGGAAAAUAUACAGAGUGGUUUAAUGAUGUCUUGUCAACUGAUAUAUCUGACAACUGUGAGAAUGUUCUCAGUCGACUAUCAGAAAAGCAUGGAUGCAAAAUGGUAGAGAUUGUAAUACCAGAAUUGCAUGAGAUGCGCGUUGCUCAUAUUGUUUCUAUUGGGUCUGAAUCAUUAUGCUCACUGAAUCCAGACUGUUAUGAGGGCCUUCACACACCUCGACUAAAUCCACGGGAUACCUGCCACCUCUUACCAGCAGUAGAUAUCAGGAGAGGUGCGAGAUUGACAUAUGAUACUCGGACAAACCUAGCAUUUUUUCGAUCAUUUACUGCAGCAGACUAUGUUGCUGCGCAGCGGCUUAGGCGGAGGUUAAUGUAUUUCCAUAUGGAGAUUUUCAAGAAGGUGGAUAUCAUUGUGACACCUACUACUGGGUGGGACUUCUGUGCUGGAGCUAAUUUUCUAAGUAAUGAAGUGGUCAUAUGACUGACUUGUUCACGCAGAUACCUAAAACAUUAAAUGCAUGACAGCACCCAGAAUUCCACCAAGUGCUCUUAAAGUUGGGGAGACUGAUUUGCACAUUUCAGGAGAUCUUAUGCGGUUUAUUAUAACAGCAAAUCUUCUGGGAUUUCCUGCAGUUACUGUCCCUGUUGGUUAUGACAAUCAAGGGCUUCCCAUAGGUAUGCAACUCAUUGGCCGACCUUGGUGUGAAGCUUCCAUUUUGCGCUUAGCUGCUGCAAUUGAGGAAACUUGUGCUGAGCCCAAGAAGAAGCCACUGCAAUAUUAUGACAUCUUGAAAGGGAACUAAUCACAAUGUGAGUCAUGAAACUUAAGAAGACGUGGAUUAAUUUAUCAAGAUUUUGGUGAUUCACACUGUAUUGACUGUCUUUUCUUUUCCCAAAUGAUCUUGAAAUUGAAUGUACCAAGUUUGACAUACCACUUUAUGAAAUAAUGCUGAUAUUUCCCCAACAAAA